UACGAAGGGUGCAAGCGUUAAUCGGAAUUACUGGGCGUAAAGGGUGCGUAGGCGGUUCGUUAAGUCUGUCGUGAAAUCCCCGGGCUCAACCUGGGAAUGGCGAUGGAUACUGGCGAGCUAGAGUGUGUCAGAGGAUGGUGGAAUUCCCGGUGUAGCGGUGAAAUGCGUAGAGAUCGGGAGGAACAUCAGUGGCGAAGGCGACUACCUGGCCCACUCUUGACGCUGAGGCGCGAAAGCUAGGGGAGCAAACGGG
rnacentral:rRNA from 1 species